rnacentral:rRNA from 1 species
GACGAACGCUGGCGGCGUGCUUAACACAUGCAAGUCGAACAGAAAGGCCCCGCUUUUGUGGGGUGCUCGAGUGGCGAACGGGUGAGUAACACGUGAGUAACCUGCCCUUGACUUUGGGAUAACUUCAGGAAACUGGGGCUAAUACCGGAUAGGAGCUCCUGCUGCAUGGUGGGGGUUGGAAAGUUUCGGCGGUUGGGGAUGGACUCGCGGCUUAUCAGCUUGUUGGUGGGGUAGUGGCUUACCAAGGCUUUGACGGGUAGCCGGCCUGAGAGGGUGACCGGCCACAUUGGGACUGAGAUACGGCCCAGACUCCUACGGGAGGCAGCAGUGGGGAAUAUUGCACAAUGGGCGGAAGCCUGAUGCAGCAACGCCGCGUGCGGGAUGACGGCCUUCGGGUUGUAAACCGCUUUCGCCUGUGACGAAGCGUGAGUGACGGUAAUGGGUAAAGAAGCACCGGCUAACUACGUG